GGAUAAUCUGCCCUUAUGAUCGGGAGUAACAAGUUGGAAACGGCUGCUAAUACCGGAUACGACUCAAAAUGAACUUUUUGAGGAAAGAUGGCCUCUGCUUGCAUGCUAUCACGUAAGGAUGAGUCCGCGUCCCAUUAGCUUAGUGGCGGGUAACGGCCCACCAAGGCAACGAUGGGUAGCCGAUUUGAGAGGAUGAUCGGCCACACUGGAACUGAAACACGGUCCAAGACUCCUACGGGAGGCAGCAGUGGGAAUAUUGCGCAAUGGGCGAAAGCCUGACGACAGCGACGCCGCGUGAGGGAUGUAAAGGGUUUCGGAUCGUAAACCUCUGUCAGAAGGGAAGAAACUACGUUGUGCUAAUCAGCAGCGUACUGACGGUACCUUCAAAGGAAGCACCGGCUAACUCCGUGCCAGCAGCUGC
rnacentral:rRNA from 1 species